rnacentral:rRNA from 1 species
ACACAUGCAAGUCGAGCGGUAAGGCCCUUUCGGGGGUACACGAGCGGCGAACGGGUGAGUAACACGUGAGUAAUCUGCCCUUCACUUCGGGAUAAGCCUCGGAAACGGGGUCUAAUACCGGAUACGACACUUUUACGCAUGUAAUGGGUGUGGAAAGUUUUUUCGGUGGGGGAUGUGCUCGCGGCCUAUCAGCUUGUUGGUGGGGUAAUGGCCUACCAAGGCUUCGACGGGUAGCCGGCCUGAGAGGGUGACCGGCCACACUGGGACUGAGACACGGCCCAGACUCCUACGGGAGGCAGCAGUGGGGAAUAUUGGACAAUGGGCGGAAGCCUGAUCCAGCAACGCCGCGUGAGGGAUGACGGCCUUCGGGUUGUAAACCUCUUUCAGCGGGGACGAAGCGCAAGUGACGGUACCCGCAGAAGAAGCACCGGCCAACUACGUGCCAGCAGCCGCGGUAAUACGUAGGGUGCGAGCGUUGUCCGGAAUUAUUGGGCGUAAAGGGCUCGUAGGCGGUUUGUCGCGUCGGGAGUGAAAACGCCGGGCUUAACUCGGUGCUUGCUUUCGAUACGGGCAGACUAGAGGCAUGCAGGGGAGAACGGAAUUCCUGGUGUAGCGGUGAAAUGCGCAGAUAUCAGGAGGAACACCGGUGGCGAAGGCGGUUCUCUGGGCAUGUCCUGACGCUGAGGAGCGAAAGUGUGGGGAGCGAACAGG